rnacentral:rRNA from 1 species
AGAGCGAACGCUGGCGGCAGGCCUAACACAUGCAAGUCGAGCGCCCCGCAAGGGGAGCGGCAGACGGGAGAGUAACACGUGGGAACGUACCCUUCAGUUCGGAACAACCCAGGGAAACUUGGGCUAAUACCGGAUACGUCCGUAAGGAGAAAGAUUUAUCGCUGAAGGAUCGGCCCGCGUCUGAUUAGCUAGUUGGUGGGGUAAUGGCCCACCAAGGCGACGAUCAGUAGCUGGUCUGAGAGGAUGAUCAGCCUCACUGGGACUGAGACACGGCCCAGACUCCUACGGGAGGCAGCAGUGGGGAAUAUUGGACAAUGGGCGCAAGCCUGAUCCAGCCAUGCCGCGUGGAUGAUGAAGGCCCUAGGGUUGUAAAGUCCUUUCGGCGGGGAAGAUAAUGACGGUACCCGCAGAAGAAGCCCGGCUAACUUCGUGCCAGCAGCCGC